CUAAAGACCAGAAAGCAGUCCCAGACGGAAGCCCAGAGGACAGAUGGUGGGUUCAGACGCAGACUGACACACCGUAACCAAGCGAUUACACACUCAAUGACUCCCACUGACGAGAGAGAGAGAGAGAGAGAGAGAGAGAGAGAGAGAGAGAAGAUGGAGGAGAACAAGAAGUGGGGAAGAGAUGGGGGAGAAGGGAAGAACAAUGGGAGCACAUACAACUGUACUGUGGAACUGAAGAAGUGACAGUGACCUGCGUGUGCAAGGGGCAGGGAAGACUAAAGGUGAUUUCAGAGAUGUGAGGACCCACCAGCUGGAUUGACUCUGUUUUCAUCCUGCAAGUUCAAUUACAACAACCUGUACAGCUGCAUCAGUGUUGCCAUUUUUUGGCCAUUUUUUUGCUGCUAUUUUUCUGGUUCUUGCACAGAUGAAUAUCAACAUUGUCCACCACACAAAGCACAAAUGGGCUUGCUUGUUUUUACAACUGGGAAUUUGUUAAAGCUGAAAAAUAAACAAACAAA